UCCCUGGUGGUCCAAUGGCUAAGACUCCCCAGUCCCAAUGCAGAGGGCCCAGGUUCAAUCCCUGGUUGGGGAA
rfam:TPA: Bos taurus chromosome 11, whole genome shotgun sequence.